rnacentral:sRNA from 1 species
UCUAACACGUGGGACCAAAGGAAAAGCCUAUGGAGCCCGCAAACAGUUGUGGAACAAGUGCGUGCAGGGGAGAAGGAAAUAAAACAAACCAACCAAACACACACCAAAAAGAUGUUUAUUGCGAAGCUACAGUCCCAGACUAACCUGGAGGGAUGUUUGAAUUCUGGAAAACCUUAUGGAUAAGCCUCGCAAUUAUGUACUUAGUCAUAACCAGAGGGGAGGAACUUUGAAGGCACUGGAUUGAAGAGACACAAAAGUCAGGAAGUAACCCUUUCGUGGGGACUGCAGAGGCCACAGAGGAGAAACAAAGUCCCUUCACAACCGGGGAAGACGGACCGUACCAUCCCGGGGGUGGGUGGCGGAGUGGGGAAGAGGGUGGUGGAAACUGACAUCCUCGCUCUCAAGGAGCCGGCGAGGACACGGGAUUUCCCGGCUGAAAAGCCUCAGUGUUCGCCUGUCCCAGCACAGCCUCUCCCCCUCCGUGGAGGCCUGAGUACCGCAGCCCGGGGGCGCCCUGCAUCACCACUCUGUGCGCGGGCGGGGCCGUGCUCCCCGGCCUGGAGAUGGAUGGCGUGCCCGAGCCAGCCCAUCUGCGGCCGCGGCUGGUCCGGGAGGAAGCCAUCCCCGGGGAUGAAUGGGGCUUUGUUCGCUGCCAGCCGCGCUCCCCUCGCGGCCCGGCUCGGCACAACGGAGGCAGUAUGCGACAGGCAUGGAAAUGAGCCGCGGGCUCUCCCCUCGCAGCGCCCAGGAAUGCUGGCCAGCCGGAAAGGAGCCCUCGCCGGGGACCCGCUCCCGCGCCUCUGAAACCCCAUUGAGAAGGGCCCUUUGAAGCAAUUAAAGCGCGUUUCACGGCGGCCCGGGAGGGGGCCCUGGCCGGCCAGCUUCUCUUUUUACCCCUCUCUCUGUCCGAUCUUGUUUGUGCACCUUGGUGUGGCGGGUUACCUAGAAACCAGGCCAGAACCCGCUCCCUCUCUUCCAGAGAUUCUGUAACCUCACAAAAGUGUCCCCAUAAACAGAUUGCUUGUCACCAGGGGGCGGGGGUGUGUGCGGGCUGGAACCCAGUUUGGACUUGAUCCAAGUUGACCUGCAAAGCCUGGGUUCCUGCUUUCAAAGGCUUCUUUGCUGGGCUCUACACCCACCUGCCCUGCAGUCAGGUUUAGGCAGACAAGAAACCGCCUCUGGACGAGAAAGUCCUGGGGCUGCGGCUCAGCAUUUUCCAUUUUCUCAGAGGUGGGGUGGGCCGCGUUCAGGUCUAGAAGUGAUGUCACAACCAGCCCUGUAAAGUGAUGUAACCUACACUUGAAGGACUAGGACCCGGCUACUAUUUUGAGACUCUUGAGUUCCUUCCUUCCUCCCUGGAGACAAGUGGAUGACUAUGGAGAACUCACAAAGCCGCUCAGGGUACAGCGGUUUGUUACAGGGAAAAAAAAAUCCUAAGGCUAAGGAACUGACUCCAUGAAAGAGGGAUGAAAUUCUUUCUAAAUUGGUGGUGGGCACCUUAUACAUGCACAUGUGGGAAGUUUGUGAACUGAAGCCCCAGCAACACCCAUAUAAAAAGAUUUUUUUUUUGAGUUCUCCGGUUGAAUUUAUACUGCAUUCCCCUGGGACCGAUAGUUAAAAGUCUGUCUCUCCUCCAGCAGGUGCUUCCUAGAGAAUACGGAUCCUUUUGUUGUAGCUUUGUUUGCUGUGUUUCUGAGACUUGGUUCUUGAAUUUCCUCUGUAGCCAGGAAUGGUGGUAUAUUCCAGAUCCGCUGGCCUCUACCUCCAGAGUGCUGGAGUUAGGCGUGUGUUGCCUUGGCUUUCAUGAUCUCUUGGGUUGUUUGUUUGUUUGUUUGCUUUGUUCGGAAGUGUGGGAAAGGUUCUGUGUUCAGAGUAGAUCCUUAACACUGAUUAUCAGUGCUUAGAAAAUACAGUCUUUGAAUGUGUGAAUAAAAUCCGAACCUUGUUGUUGUUGUUGUUGCUUUGUUUUGUAUAAUUCCAAGUGAGAAGUAGGAAGCACAAGGUGGUUCCUGAUUCCUGAGGAUCCUGCACUAGGAAGACGUUGAGAAGUUUGAAGGGAAGGUUGGGAAACAUUUUUGAGAGCACAAACAUGCCUCAAAUGUUUCCUGAAAUGACCCAGAGGGAGAGUGGGCACUCAGGUGGAAGACUCAUUCUUUCCAGAUUUGGAGGUGGUUAGCUCUGGCUACCGUGAAUCAUGUUUUACGUCAGUAAGGAGUAUACCCCGUCCGUCGUUCAUUCUUUAAGCAUGCCAUGGAGACAGGAUGGUCAGUCAAAGUAAUGGUUAUGCAUGGAAGCAAAUGAACAUGGGAUGGAAGAGGAGGAGGCCCUACCUCAAGCAUCAUUCCCGGCAUCUCCAGGACAAACUUCCUGCUCAAGUAGCACGAUGUGGAGAUUCUUGGCAGUUCCACCAGGCAACCCUCUCAACACUGAAUCUCCAACACCUGGCUGCAAAGGACUGUUUGAUGAGCAUCUCAUGAGUGGGACCAACGGGUUGGCUGAGUUCCCCAGACUUUAUCAUGUUGACCCUGGAUCUUUAGCUGUCACCCAAAGCAUCUUUCUUUCUUUUUUUCCAUUUUACCAUUAUAACAUCUUUGCUACUUCAUUUUUUUACAGCUUUCCAUAAAGAAUUAAGGUUUGCAAAUAUAUAAAUAUGUAUAAAUGCAUAUGUAAUAUUCAACAGUAUAAAAAAUAAUCACGGCAACCAGGGGCAUUUUCGCUUUUUUUCCAUCUCAGAUUUAGCUUCAGUAGCUUUGAAGAAGAAAAACACUGUACUUCUUGACAUAGAUUUUCUCCCAUAUAGCUACGUAUGUUGACUUUUUCCUCCUGUGGCACUGGCCACUCAUUGGACCCCUUGGAGGGUAUUAGACUUGAGAUGAAGCUAGAGAAUCACUCCUACAUAUUUCUCAGUCGUAGGUCAAAGGUUGCAUAACUCACACAUUCUCAAAUCUUUGGGCAAUGUAUGCUUGUGUUUUCAAUCUAUGGUUUUCAAAUUUUGCUCUAAGGAUCAUUGCGAGUUGAAUGAAGGUAAGAGAAGACCGGCCAACUUAGGAGUAAACUGAGAUCAGGAAUGGGGUUAGGGCCCUGGCUCCCAUUGCUUUAUUACAAACAGAGAAGCUUUUUAAAAAAUAUUAAUUAUUUUAUUUAUUUAC